CGGAGGGGCCGAGGUUUUGCAGGAGCGGGUCGCGCUGCCCCGUGGCUGUGCAGGGCCGUGAUUACGGAGCGCCCUGCCCGGGCAGAAAUGGGAAACGCUGCGAGCCUGCGGGGACAGCACCGAGCCCGGAGGGUUGGGGAGCUCGGAGCCCACUCGAGAGCCGGGUGUGGGGCAGGGAGCUGCAGGUGGAUGAGCAGCAGUGGGAUGCGGCGCUUGCCCCUUGGAGCAGGGCGCGCUCGGCUUUCACUUUCUCAUCAGCAGCUUUUUGAGGAGGGUAAGGACUUCUUCCAGCACAGGAGAAAUCAGGAACUGAGAUAUUAAAAAUAAAUAAAUCUCAGUCCCCCAUGGGUGAGUGGGGAGCGGCUGCUAAGCUUCCUUGACUGUGUAGGAUUCCUAAAAGGCUGCAGGGUUGGAUGCUCCGUGGGGCGGCUUCGGCAUUUGCCCCAUGUCAGAGUGCUGAACGGCGAAAGCUGUGAAGGAGCUGGAGACGCAGCAUUCAAGUAGGACUGUCCCAUAGGCAAGGUGACCCGGCACGGGACUUUCCCUGCCCUAUGACCCUUGCUGGGACAGCACAGGGCCGUGACAGCUGCAUUUUGGGGACAGUCUGGAGGCCUGCACCCUGCAGAGCUGGGCAGAGGACAGACGUGCAACAAGAACCCCAGGACACUGCAGUCCAUGUGCUCUAGGUAAAACUGGUGCAUUGGAAAAUGUCUCCCAUGGAGAGAAAUCAAAACUGAGAUGGCGAGAGAGGAAAGCCAUUGUCUACAGUAUCAUUAUCCUGCGGGCUGAGGAGAUGGAGGGCUAACAAGAUUUAAAUACUACAUCAGGCUUAAGAUUUCUCCUCUCUUAAAAUCUCAUUUGCUAUAAAACAAAUGUACGAUAAUAUGGGAUCCGAUACUCACUGCACAUAUUUGAUUUCCUCCAUAAUUGUAAAGAAGAAAAUGUUGGUGACUCAACAAGUCUUUGUUUAAAAAGAAAACACAGCGUGCCUCGGGAAAACAUGCUUCUUGAAAGCAUAAUUUUUGUUUGCUUUGGUUCUUAUUUUUGCUUUUUGUUUGUUUUGCUUUUUAUUGUCAAGAACUAUGCUUUGACUGCGACCUUGUAGCAUUACACCCAUAAAUAGAAGCAGCUUUAGAUUCAUGGGAAACACAUUUUUUCUGAUGGUGGAAGAAGUAGGCCAAGCAAGCCGGCUCUCCGGAGAGGUUGAACCCCAAAGGACACACAGUGUGGGCAAAGCAAGGGCUGUGUUCACAAGGCAGCAUGAUCACCGUAGUCAUCGUCCUUCCAUGGUUCAUUCCCAGUGAAGCCACCUGCCCUCGUCUCUUGUUUUUCCUUCAGUUCCUCGGUCAAUAACAAUUCUUCCUUUCCUGGUGGUCUCAGCACCCACCUGAAGGAGUGAAUUAAAAUAGAGAGAAGCAUUAAAUAGCUGGCCAGAAAUGCACAAACACCAUCACUUCACAGCAAGACAUUAGCAGCAAAAUGUCCCUGAAGAAAAGGGACCGGGGGAAUUCACCUCCCCGAGGUGACCAGCAAGACCCUGUGCGCUUCAGAGCUCACUGCGUGCUGUGCCUGUGCUUCGGGAGGUGAGAGCAGGAGUCUGCAGGAGCCGAGCUGACCCCAUGCUGUGGGCUUCAACUCCCCACCACCCUCUCCACCGCAGGGCCCUGUGCAUCCUCUGAGUCACUGCAAGAGGCAGAGCCAGAGAUGCGAGGGCAUGCUGAUCUUGGAGACCCUUCUAACAGGUGGCAGUGGCCAAACCAAAUGUUUGCGUGCGCAGGCAGUGCAAUUCCUCUGUGUCUUUCCUGGAAAGAACUAUGAGUUUUCAAACAGCCAGGGUCUGCCAGCUCCCUGGGGUGGCCACUGGGCUCAGAGCUCGCCGCUACCGACAGCAGGGCGGGAGCCCAGCCCGGACACGCUGUGCUGGGGAGAAUUUCCCCUGCUUGUUUUGGGCAGCAGCACCUCCUCCAGUCAUGCCUACCUGCAGGCUGUCAUUAGAUCUACCCAAAAAGAUUUUGCCAUUCAUGCUUUUGGCUACUUACCUGCUCUCCCUGCAUUACAGAAAGGGGAGAGCUCAGGAGUGGGUGCAUCACUGAGAGAUAGUCGUUAACUUGGCAAGAGCAGCAAGGCAAUUAAGACCCCAAAAGGAAGCAACAGAAGCCCCCCAAGACUUCACUACAGCACUUAACGUUGCUGUAAACUGUCCCUCAAUGAUAAGCUGGGGAAAUAAUCUUCUUAUUCAGG